rnacentral:rRNA from 1 species
ACGCUGGCGGCGUGCUUAACACAUGCAAGUCGAACGAUGAAAUUCUGACGGAGGCUUCGGCCAACUGAAGGAUGGAUUAGUGGCGGACGGGUGAGUAACGCGUGAGUAACCUGCCUCUCAGAGUGGAAUAACAUUUGGAAACGAAUGGUAAUACCGCAUGAUGUCACGGAACCGCAUGAUUCUGUGACCAAAGGAGAAAUCCGCUGAUAGAUGGGCUUGCGUCUGAUUAGAUAGUUGGUGGGGUAACGGCCUACCAAGUCGACGAUCAGUAGCCGGACUGAGAGGUUGAACGGCCACAUUGGGACUGAGAUACGGCCCAGACUCCUACGGGAGGCAGCAGUCGGGAAUAUUGCGCAAUGGAGGAAACUCUGACGCAGUGACGCCGCGUGCAGGAAGAAGGUUUUCGGAUUGUAAACUGCUUUAGACAGGGAAGAAAAAGACAGUACCUGUAGAAUAAGCUCCGGCUAACUACGUG